CCCUCCCUCCCUCUCUCCUCCAUUAGUAUUGAUUAUAAAGUUGAUAGAGAUCAAGUGAGACGAGUUGAAUUCACUCAAGGAGACAAUGGUGUAUAUACAAGAUUGUUUGCAAGGAAAAUAAAGAAUUAAUAAUAACAUUAUAAUGACAGUAAAUACAGUGUAGACUCUGUGUGUAUAAUCAUUUUAUCUCAUUUAUUCAAUAUUACUUUUUGUGUGUGUACGAUAAUUAUUAUUGAUUGUGUUACAUCAGUUUGAUUGUUCCUUACUUCUAUUCAAUGGAA